rfam:Brassica napus, WGS project CCCW01000000 data, contig: 564
UUGAGCUGUACGAGAUGAAAUUCUCAUAUACAGUUCUUGGAGGGGGAGGAACCUUGGUUUACCUAUCUCAAU